GACGAACGCUGGCGGCGUGCCUAAUACAUGCAAGUCGAGCGGACGAAUCGAAAGCUUGCUUUUGAUUCGUCAGCGGCGGACGGGUGAGUAACACGUGGGCAACCUGCCCUGUAGACGGGGAUAACACCGAGAAAUCGGUGCUAAUACCGGAUAACACGAAAUGUCGCAUGACGUUUCGUUGAAAGACGGCGCAAGCUGUCGCUACAGGAUGGGCCCGCGGCGCAUUAGCUCGUUGGUGAGGUCACGGCUCACCAAGGCGACGAUGCGUAGCUGACCUGAGAGGGUGAUCGGCCACACUGGGACUGAGACACGGCCCAGACUCCUACGGGAGGCAGCAGUAGGGAAUCUUCCGCAAUGGACGAAAGUCUGACGGAGCAACGCCGCGUGAGCGAAGAAGGCCUUCGGGUCGUAAAGCUCUGUUGUUAGGGAAGAACAAGUAACGCAGUAACUGGCGUUACCGUGACGGUACCUAACGAGAAAGCCACGGCUAACUACGUG
rnacentral:rRNA from 1 species